GCACAAUGUCGCGCACAGGCAUGGCAUACCCCUUGGUGAGGUGGGGGCACCGCCAGAUGACCCUGACCCAGGACCAGUAUAUGUGCAGCACAAUCAACAAGCCAUUCAGGCCCGUCAACGUGUAAUUGCGACAAUAUAAAUGAACAGCAUGCAUCAAGACACGGCCAGAUGGAUGGGCUUCAGCACUGGGGGGAACAUUAGAGACACGGGAGACGCUGGACUGAAUGGGCUCUGACUGCUCAGGUGGUGCGGACUCUGAGUGCGUGCCAGUGGACGUUCCUGCGGUUCCUAAGUCCAAAUACACAAAGGCACAUCUUAACAAGACAACAUCCUGGAGGCUGUUAAAGCAGAAGACCUUAUGACAGAUGAAGAGAUCACGGUAAAAACAAGGUUACAAUGUACAAGGUUUUUAGUAUGAGGUGGCAUUCACAACUUUUACAAGGCUGGUAAAAACUGAAUCAACUUCUAAAAAUACUUUUAUAUUAUACUAUUAUAGGAUCUGGAGAAAAACCUGCUAAGUGGGCAUGUUCUGUCUAACAAAAUGUAUCUGUGGAAACACAAAGGAUUUGAUCCUCUCCUCAGAAAACAUUACAGCAAACAUGUGACUUUAUUCAAUGACAUGAAGACAGACGAGGUUUAUCCAGAGACUGGAAAAAAUACUGACAGUACCUGGAACUGUAGCUGAGAAGCAGCUAUUCAUAACAGAGGUCAUUUUGCCAGAGAAUCUGUGCUUCUAACCACCACACCUUCAAAGAAAAAGAAAGGAGCUGCAAGAAAGGCAGCUGAAGAAACCGAGACCACCGAAGAGGAAACCCUUCUUAUCCUACAUAGCCUGGCUGCAGCUGACUGGUGCGAUAAGGCAACAUUCAAUGGAGGACUGAAACUCCCUGCUGCCCUUUUUAUGGACAGAGAAGAAAGAAAAGAAGCCAUCCAGGAGAUGGACCCCUGGGAUGGGGAACUGGAUGAGGAUUCUCCAGCAGAACUUUUUACAUUCGUUUUUGAAAGAAAAAAGGACUACGACAACUUCUGGGAAGAAUGUGUUGAUAAAAACAAUUACAGACUGUUUACAAGAUUUGAG
ensembl:lncRNA